GACGAACCGUGCAAACGUUAUUCGGAAUCACUGGGCGUAAAGGGCGCGUAGGCGGCGCGGUAAGUCAACGGUGAAAGCUUGGAGCUCAACUCCGAGUCGGCCGUCGAUACUCCCGUGCUCGAGCACUGUAGAGGCAGAUGGAAUUCCGGGUGUAGCGGUGGAAUGCGUAGAGAUCCGGAGGAACACCGAAGGCGAAGGCAGUCUCCUGGCAAGUUUCUGACGCUCAGGUGCGAAAGCUAGGGGAGCGAACAGG
rnacentral:rRNA from 1 species